rnacentral:rRNA from 1 species
AAUUAUUGGGCGUAAAGGGCUCGCAGGCGGUUCCUUAAGUCUGAUGUGAAAGCCCCCGGCUCAACCGGGGAGGGUCAUUGGAAACUGGGGAACUUGAGUGCAGAAGAGGAGAGUGGAAUUCCACGUGUAGCGGUGAAAUGCGUAGAGAUGUGGAGGAACACCAGUGGCGAAGGCGACUCUCUGGUCUGUAACUGACGCUGAGGAGCGAAAGCGUGGGGAGCGAACAGGAUUAGAUACCCUGGUAGUCCACGCCGUAAACGAUGAGUGCUAAGUGUUAGGGGGUUUCCGCCCCUUAGUGCUGCAGCUAACGCAUUAAGCACUCCGCCUGGGGAGUACGGUCGCAAGACUGAAACUCAAAGGAAUUGACGGGGGCCCGCACAAGCGGUGGAGCAUGUGGUUUAAUUCGAAGCAACGCGAAGAACCUUACCAGGUCUUGACAUCCUCUGACAAUCCUAGAGAUAGGACGUCCCCUUCGGGGGCAGAGUGACAGGUGGUGCAUGGUUGUCGUCAGCUCGUGUCGUGAGAUGUUGGGUUAAGUCCCGCAACGAGCGCAACCCUUGAUCUUAGUUGCCAGCAUUCAGUUGGGCACUCUAAGGUGACUGCCGGUGACAAACCGGAGGAAGGUGGGGAUGACGUCAAAUCAUCAUGCCCCUUAUGACCUGGGCUACACACGUGCUACAAUGGACAGAACAAAGGGCAGCGAAACCGCGAGGUUAAGCCAAUCCCACAAAUCUGUUCUCAGUUCGGAUCGCAGUCUGCAACUCGACUGCGUGAAGCUGGAAUCGCUAGUAAUCG